CAGUAGCCACGGUAAGACGGAGGGUGCUAGCGUUGUUCGGAAUCACUGGGCGUAAAGGGCGCGUAGGCGGCCUGUUAAGUCGGAUGUGAAAGCCCGGGGCUCAACCCCGGAACUGCAUCCGAGACUGGCAGGCUUGAGACCGGGAGAGGAGGGUGGAAUAUCCAGUGUAGAGGUGAAAUUCGUAGAUAUUGGAUGGAACACCGGUGGCGAAAGCGGCUCUCUGGCCCGGAUCUGACGCUGAGGCGCGAAAGCGUGGGGAGCAAACAGGAUUAGAUACCCGUGUAGUCCCUGUCUCUUAUAA
rnacentral:rRNA from 1 species